AAAAAUAAGCGUCAAAAGUAAAGUAUGAGAUAAGUCUGAUAUCUUUACAUAAAGUUGUAGUGGUCGAAAUGAGGUUUCCGAAUAUAUAAAGAAUGCCAAAAUCCGAGUUAUAACGAAGAAGUUAUGACCUAUUAAAGUUUCGCGACAGAACCGGCACGACCCAGUGCGACCCAGUGCGACGUAAAUAAUGAAUUUAAGGUAGAUAGAUAUCUAUCCUUAGUGAUCUAAAUGAGAAUUGAAGAUCUCAUCGAUAGUAGUGCAACGACGGAAAGACAGACGAAAACGGAGUUUAGAUGAAGGAGUUAUGAAUUUCGAACGGAGUUUUCCUGUCCUGGCCUACUAAAGAUAAUAUAUAAGUAAUAUACUUAUAAUAUAUUAAAAAUAAAGUCAAAAUUAGCCAAUGGAGUCUAAACGAGAGUUGUAGAGCAUAAUCUCACCUUCGCGGCGAUAUAAAGAACGUCGAAAACGGAGUUCGUAUGCGAAAGUUAUGAAUUUCUGAAGUUCGGGGCGCGAAACCCCAAAACUGUCAGAUGCCACGACGUGGCAAGCAGUGCCACGACGUGGCAAAUCUCCUGUCACCUCCGGAAGGCCCCCAGAUGCAACUUGGGAUGACGCAUGCAGUGACGACCAAGCCCACGACGUGGAACAAGGUUGCCACGACGUGGCAAGGGCCAAAUUUGCCCUAUAAAUAGAUUUGAAGGGCCAGCCGUUUAUGGUUGCUAUUUUCUCUCUUCUCUCUCCCGUUUUACAUCGUUUUGCGUGCCAGAAGUACCCCGAAGCCCCGGUAAUAUCCCCGAGACCCGAAGCAAGUCCCGAGAUCCCGAAGAUCCCGAGAAGUGCGAUUCCCGAGUCGAAGCUCUGCCCGCGAGAAGUUCGAUUUUUGUAGAGAUCUUCCAGAUCUGCUGAGGAUUACUACUUCUGCAAGUCGUAGUGCUGUCCGAUC
rnacentral:lncRNA from 1 species